rnacentral:tRNA from 7 species
GCCGGCUUAGCUCAGUUGGUAGAGCAUCGGUAUCGUAAACCGAGGGUCGGGUGUUCAAGUCGCCUAGCCGGCA